CUCAGUCUCCAAAAGUGCUAGGAUUACAGGUAUGAGCCACAGCACCCGGCCCUGUUUUCCAUUUUCAAUGUAGUAUUCGAUAAAUUACAUGAGGCAGUCAACACUUUACUAUAAAAUAGCCUACAGUAAGAUAAAAUAAUCCAAAACAAGUCUAAUGUUAAGUGUUCAGAGCACAUUUAAAGUAGGCUAGGCUAAGCUAUGAUGUUUGGUAGCUUAAGUGUAUUAAAUGCAUUUUUGACUUAUGAUAUUUUGUAUUUACAAUGAGUUCAUUGAAAUGUAACCCCAUCAUAAGUCAAGGAACAUCUGUUACUGUAUAUCUUCUGUGAUAGGCAACUGAAUUUUUUUCAGAGUCCCUCCUUUAACGUGGGCACGAUGUUAAUCUUUCUAAGUAAAGGGCAUUGGAGGAAUACUACAGAGGAAGAGGUUCUCCUGCUAUUCCUGUUAUGGGCUGAGGGUUGGCUAGUGUGAGUAUGAAGACAACCAGUAAAUAUCCACAGGCCCAAAACACAAUCUGUCUGUGACCUUGCAGCUUUGGCCUGCUGAUAACCUUUUUGCACCCCUCUUCACAAGGAAACCAAAGCUCUUGCAUGGCCUGCACUGACGUUUGUGGCCUGGAGACUCACACAUCUGAAGUCACUCUUUACCAGCCUCUGCACAACCUGUGCAUAGCUCACCUGUGGCCCAGUGCUCUACACAGAUCUACCAGUCCCUCUGCAACUUCCUGUGCAGCCUAAAUGCUCUGGAUGCAUUCCACCCUAUGAGUGAAUGUCAAGAUGAAGUUACCUGAAAAUGAUGACGGAACAAGAGAAGGAGAAAGCAGCCUGGAUCACAUAUCGGCUUUGGCCUGCUUCUUUCCUGUUCUAUGGCUGUGACCUGUACCCUCCCGGAACCCUCCUUGGAAGGAACAACUUGGCUAACCUGAUUAAUGCUUAGCUGCCAAAAGAUUGAGUUCUCAAUGAAAAUCAUAUGGUAAUUUUAGUAAUACCUUUGUGUAUGACCUUGAAAAAUACAGACACAAAUUUCUAAUGCAUUUGAGGAAGUAAUAAAGUUUUAAAGAGUUAGAGGGUGAGGGAAGGAAGCAGCUUUUUUUAUCUGAAACUUGGCUGUCAAUGAUACAGAAGGGCUGGGCUCCCAGCUAAACCCCACCCAUAUGCCUGAAACUGCGGCCCCAAGUGAAAACAGCUGACCCCGUUUUUCUGCCCAAAUGUUACCUUUUUGGCCUGCCAUGCUCCUAUCCUGUGCCCAUAGAAGACUUCAGCUGGCAGAGCAACACAAGUGGCUGAGCAGCGAGCAGAGAAGCAACUGAACGUUGGAGACUAUGGAUAGAUGUGGCUAACUUCAGACAGGGCUGCUUCAGAGAGGGGCAGCCGGGCUUCAGGGAGAGAGAGAUCAUUUUCCCGACCGCUUUUCAGUCUCCUUUUCUGCUGAGAGCCAACCACUGCUCAAUAAAGUCUUCUGCAUUCAUCAACCUCUCAAACAGUUCAUGUGACUUGAUUCUUCCUGGAUGCUGGACAAGAACCUGGGUGCUGAGAGGUCAGAGGCUGCCACCUUGACCCUCCAGUGAGCUGGUUGGCACUCCCCUGUCCCUGGACGGCUGAUCUGACAGAGUAUUGGUCAUAACAUGCUUGGACUCUGGCCAGUUCCAGUGUUUGUUCGCUUCAGUUCCUGCACUUGCUCGCUCGCACCCUCCCUCCUGAGCGGAGGAGUGGCCAGCGGUGGGCAGAGUGAAAGAACCACUCCAGUUCCUGCCUGCGAAGGGGGUAAACAAAGUAUCCCAUCACAUCAAGAUACCUCUGAAUAUGAACAGCUAGGAAUCUGAUGGCUGCAAAGAUGACUAUUACCCAAAUUGUGAAGAAGAGAAAGAGAAGGAAAACCAGAACCCUGAAGAUAGACAAAAUUAUUAUGUGCAAGUAGCCAAUGACAUGAGGCAGCAGGAAUUUGACACUUUUGAUAAUGAGGCAUACCAGUGGUCAUCAUCCCAACCUACAGGAGUUCAAGGGCAUCCUAAACAAGUACAUAGCCAUAUUAGUCUUAAUGCUACUAUAGGAAAUUAUAUAGGAAAGAAAAAUCUUUUCAAUAAAUGGUGCUGGAAAAAUUAGAUGGACAUAUGGAAAAAGAUUAGUCUCAAUCCUUACCUCAUGCUACACAAAAAACUAAUUUUGAGAUGCAUCAUGGACCUAAACUCAAAAGCUAAAACUAAAAGGCUUCUAGAGAAAAACAGAAGAAUAUCUUCAUGACUGUGGGGUUGGCAAAGAUUUUUUUCCAUGAGACCGAAAAGUACCAACCUCAAAAAAACUAACACAUUGGGUUUAAUCAAAAUGUAAAACCAUAAGAGACACCGUUAAGCAAAUGAAUAAACAAGCCAGGACCAAAAGAAAAUAUUUGUAAUACAUACAUCUGACAAAGGAUGUGUAUCUAGGGGAUGGAAAGAAUUCUUACAACUCAGUAAUAAAGAUAACUCAGUUUUAAAA